CCACAUUUGGAUUAAUGUGCAUGUACAGCUGUGAUCAGACAGUUGCAGAGGGCUGUUGAACUCUCACUCUGUGGAAAUAUUUGGUAGAAUCUAAAUUGGAGCUUUGUUGCUACUGCUCCUCUGCCCUACAUCUAUUCCAUCCGCCUGGAGAUGAAGGUCUGCUCAACUCUGGUCUGAGGAGGCUGCUAAAGAAUAAUGCCUGCCAAGCACAUUAUAUCUGGAUCUGAUUUUCACCCUUUAUCACACCAAAGGAUAGCCCUCACCAACCCACAAUGUAAGCUGCAGAAUGUUGAUGAGAACGAGAACCAAGGAGUCCAGAACACGCAGCCCAGUGCCAACAAGGUAACUGCUCCCAAAAAGACACCUUCCAAAGGAGAACAGCUGAACCUAGAUUCUUCCCAUUUAAAUCACUUAUAAUUGAUGCAUGGUGUGAUAUGGCUGUGGUUUAAACCACAGGUUUCACUGCUGUGCAAAGAAUAUAUUUCUAUUUCUACUUUUGCCUAUUUUACCCUGCAUUUAU
rnacentral:lncRNA from 1 species